UGGCUUCCCCCAAGGACGCCGCCCCCUCCCCCGCCGGCAUGGAGAACUCAGAGCGGCGGGACGGACGCCUCCCGCUGGCGGAGGUGGUCUCGGAUUGCGUCAGAAGGUGGUUUCAGGAUACGCUGAAGGAGGCUAGGGCUGGGGAUUCGGCGAUGCAGGUGAUGGUUGGGCAGAUGUAUCAAAGUGGGUAUGGGGUGGCGCG
rnacentral:misc_RNA from 1 species